CCUACGGGAGGCAGCAGUGGGGAAUAUUGGACAAUGGGCGAAAGCCUGAUCCAGCCAUGCCGCGUGUGUGAAGAAGGCCUUCGGGUUGUAAAGCACUUUCAGUGGGGAAGAAAGCCUUGGGGCUAAUACCCUCGAGGAAGGACAUCACCCACAGAAGAAGCACCGGCUAACUCCGUGCCAGCAGCCGCGGUAAUACGGAGGGUGCGAGCGUUAAUCGGAAUUACUGGGCGUAAAGCGCGCGUAGGCGGUCUGAUAAGCCGGUUGUGAAAGCCCCGGGCUCAACCUGGGAACGGCAUCCGGAACUGUCAGGCUAGAGUGCAGGAGAGGAAGGUAGAAUUCCCGGUGUAGCGGUGAAAUGCGUAGAGAUCGGGAGGAAUACCAGUGGCGAAGGCGGCCUUCUGGACUGACACUGACGCUGAGGUGCGAAAGCGUGGGUAGCAAACAGGAUUAGAUACCCCAGUAUC
rnacentral:rRNA from 1 species